GACGAACGCUGGCGGCGUGCUUAACACAUGCAAGUCGAACGAUGAAGAAGAGACACGCGAACUUCGGUUCAAAUUUCACUUCGGAUUAGUGGCAGACGGGUGAGUAACGCGUGAGCAACCUACCUCUUACAAAGGGAUAGCCUCGGGAAACCGUGAUUAAUACCAUAUGACACAUUCAUAAGGCAUCUUAAGAAUGUUAAAGCUACGGCGGUAAGAGAUGGGCUCGCGUCCCAUUAGCUAGUUGGUGAGGUAACGGCCCACCAAGGCGACGAUGGGUAACCGGGCUGAGAGGGUGAACGGUCACAGUGGAACUGAGACACGGUCCAAACUCCUACGGGAGGCAGCAGUGGGGAAUAUUGCACAAUGGAGGGAACUCUGAUGCAGCGACGCCGCGUGAGCGAUGAAGGAAUUCGUUUCGUAAAGCUCUGUUCUAUGGGAAGAAAAGGACUGUACCAUAGGAGAAAGCCCCGGCUAAAUACGUG
rnacentral:rRNA from 1 species